rnacentral:rRNA from 1 species
GACGAACGCUGGCGGCGCGCUUAACACAUGCAAGUCGAGCGAGAACCAGGCCUUCGGGCCUGGGGAAAGCGGCGAACGGGUGAGUAACACGUGGGCAACCCACCCUUGGUACCGGGAUAGCCCGAGGAAACUCGGAUUAAUACCGGAUGGCCCAACAGCUCUUCGGGGCGGUUGGAAAAGGUAGCUUCGGCCUCCGACCAAGGACGGGCCCGCGGUGGAUUAGCUUGUUGGUGGGGUAAUGGCCUACCAAGGCGACGAUCCANAGCUGGUCUGAGAGGACGAUCAGCCACACUGGGACUGAGACACGGCCCAGACUCCUACGGGAGGCAGCAGUGGGGAAUCUUGCGCAAUGGGCGAAAGCCUGACGCAGCGACGCCGCGUGGGGAAGAAGGCUUUCGGGUUGUAAACCCCUUUCAGGAAGGACGAAGCUACUCGGGUUAAUAGCCCAGAGGGUGACGGUACUUCCAGAAGAAGCCCCGGCUAACUACGUGCCAGCCGCCGCGGUAAU